rnacentral:rRNA from 1 species
CCUACGGGAGGCUACAGUGAGGAAUAUUGGUCAAUGGGCGCGAGCCUGAACAAGCCAAGUCGCGUGAGGGAAGACGGUCCUAUGGAUGGUAAACCUCUUUUGUCGGGGAGCAAAAGACGCCACGCGUGGGGUUCCGAGAGUACCCGAAGAAAAAGAAUCGGCUAACCCCGUGCCAGCAGACGCGGUAAUACGGAGGAUGCGAGCGUUAUCCGGAUUUAUUGGGUUUAAAGGGUGGGCAGGCGGAAGAUCAAGUCAGCGGUAAAAUUGAGAGGCUCAACCUCUUCGAGCCGUUGAAACUGGUGUUCUUGAGUGAGUGAGAAGUAUGCGGAAUGCGUGGUGUAGCGGGGAAAUGCAUAGAUAUCACGCAGAACUCCGAUUGCGAAGGCAGCAUACCGGCGCUCAACUGACGCUCAUGCACGAAAGUGUGGGUAUCGAACAGGAUUAGAUACCCUUGUAGUC